AGAGUUUGAUCCUGGCUCAGGUUGAACGCUGGCGGUGCGCCUAAUACAUGCAAGUCGAGCGAGAAAUAUUCUAAGUUUACUUAUAAUAUGGAAAGCGGCGGACGAGUGAGUAACACGUAAGAACCCACCCUGUACUCAGGAACAACUCAUCGAAAGAUGAGCUAAUACCGGAUAGUCUCGAAAGAGUAAAGCUUUUGCGGUACGGGAGGGGCUUGCGGCCUAUCAGCUUGUUGGUAAGGUAAAAGCUUACCAAGGCUAUGACGGGUAGCUGGUGUGAGAGCAUGACCAGCCACGAUGGGACUGAGACACGGCCCAUACUCCUACGGGAGGCAGCAGUAAGGAAUCUUCCGCAAUGGGCGAAAGCCUGACGGAGCGACACCGCGUGGAGGACGAAGGUCCAUGGAUUGUAAACUCCUUUUCUACCGGAAGAAGAUCUGACGGUACGGUAGGAAUAAGCCCCGGCUAAUUACGUGCCAGCAGCCGCGGUAAUACGUAAGGGGCAAGCGUUAACCGGAAUCAUUGGGCGUAAAGCGUCCGCAGGUGGUUGCAUAAGUCUGUUAUUAAAUAUCGGAGCUUAACUUCGAUGCCGCCGAAACUGUGUAGCUAGAGGAUAGUAGAGGUAUGUGGAAUUCUACAAGUAGGGGUAAAAUCCGUAGAUAUGUAGAGGAACACCAAAAGCGAAGGCAGCAUACUGGACUAUUCCUGACACUCAGGGACGAAAGCGUGGGGAGCGAAACGGAUUAGAUACCCGUGUAGUCCACGCCGUAAACGAUGCAUGCUAGACGUUGGGACUCUCGACUUAGUCUCAGUGUCCAAGGUAACCCGUUAAGCAUGCCGCCUGUGUACUACGAUCGCAAGAUUAAAACAUAAAGGAAUAGACGGGGACCCACACAAGCGGUGGAACGCGGGGUUUAAUUCGUUAAUAAGCGAGUAACCUUACCAAGACUUGACAUCCCGGUCGUACUUCAUGGAAACAUGGAGGUCAAUUCGGUUGGACCGGUGACAGGCGCUGCAUGGUUGUCGUCAGCUCGUGCCUUGAGGUGUUCGGUUAAGUCCGUAAACGAGCGCAACCCUCAUCGUAUGUUGUAUUUUCAUAUGAGACUGCCCAUCAUAAAUGGGAGGAAGGUGAGGAUGACGUCAAAUCAGCAUGGCCCUUAUGUCUUGGGCUACACCCACGUUACAAUGGCGAUUACAAACCGAAGCAAAACAGCAAUGUCGAGCAAAUCGGAGAAAAGUCGUCUCAGUUCGGAUUGAGGUCUGCAACUCGACCUCAUGAAGUUGGAAUCGCUAGUAACUGUAUAUCAGUCACGGUACAGUGAAUAUGUUCCUGGGUCUUGUACUCACCGCCCGUCAAGGCAUGGGAGUCAGGGGCACCCGAAGUCUCUUCUGAUUUAUUAGAGGGGCCUAAGGUGAAACUGG
rnacentral:rRNA from 1 species